UCUCUUCCUCCCGAAGAGUGUCCACGGGCGCUCAGUGCGUCCUCACGCACUUUCCUGCUCCAAAAAUUUGGCUAAAGUUUUGUUGGAAAGUAGCAUCCAGAUGUGGGAGAUUGUGAAAAGUCGUGCGUAGAUUUAGGAACUAGAUCCAGAAAAAAGACGAUUACUCAGGGUGGUCAACUGAAGGUGAAGUGCUGAGUCAGCCAGUCCCCUCGUCUGUGUGAUGUGCGUACAGCCAGCUUAUUUACUCGGGAGGACAGAGGGAAAAAAUAACAGGAAACCAACCCACAUCAAACAAUGAAGAUGAAUAUCAAUAUUUGUUCCUUUCCGGAUAAGAGGAGUUAUGCACAGUAUUACGUCAUCAUAGCAGCACUUGAAAGAAUCAAAGUUGCUUUGAGCUUGAAGAAUUUCCAGUACGGCAAUUUGGCUGUUGUCAUCUAAAUGAAGUAAAGUGAAAAUACAGCCUUUUAACAGAAGUAAGUAGAUAUUAUUCGAAGUAUCCAUGGUCGCCAUCUGGAAGCUGUGCUUGUUAUCAAACUUGAGAUCCAGGAACCUGGCCCGAUGCUGCCAGCAGAUGUUGCCAAAUUGCCGUCUAUACAGGAUGAACCACCUUACACUCCUACUGGUAAAAAUACCCUUUGGUUGUUUUCAGUUGUGAAAAUAAAUGAAGACCACCCAGACGAGGACACACAAAGGCUCUUUAUUCAAAGCUGGCUACAGCGAGGGCGUCAGUGCCGUCACAGGCUGCGCAGAGACUCGAAGGCAAUCCUCUACCAGUUAAUGGAUGUCCAUCUAAGUGUAACUUCAAGGGGAGAGACAAAGGGAGCAACUCACUCCACCACGAUGCUGACGUCACUCUCUGUAUGUGUACUAUUAUAAACAACACUGAGAGG
rnacentral:lncRNA from 1 species